AUUCGUUGCUCUAUUUAUUCGGCUGGAGGUUCAAAGGAAGAAUGCAAACCGACAUCAACGAGUUUGUGGAACUAUACAUUCCUCGCAAAUGCUCUGCGAGCAACCGCCUGAUUCACGCAAAGGACCACGCGGCCGUUCAGAUCAACAUCGCGUCCGUCGACGAAAGUGGGCACUACGUUCCCGGAGAGAGCAUAACCUUUGCGCUUUGUGGAAACAUUCGAUCUCAGUCGCGAAGCGACGAGGCCAUCAACCGACUGGCCACGGAGGCCGGCUAUCUGAAGGAGACAUACAAGUUUUGAGAGGCGCGGACCGCCCUUGAACGACGAUAUGUUUUUGAAAUAUGGGUGUUUGUUUAUAUAAAUUAAUACCGAUUAG